rnacentral:rRNA from 1 species
UACGAAGGGUGCAAACGUUUGCUCGGAAUUAUUGGGCGUAAAGCGCACGUAGGCGGCUUGGCAAGUCGGAUGUGAAAUCCCUCGGCUCAACCAAGGAAGUGCAUCCGAAACUGCUGAGCUUGAGUACUUAAGAGGAUCGCGGAAUUCCCGGUGUAGAGGUGAAAUUCGUAGAUAUCGGGAGGAACACCAGUGGCGAAGGCGGCGUCUGGGAAGAUACUGACGCUGAGGUGCGAAAGCGUGGGGAGCAAACAGG